ACGCUGGCGGCGUGCCUAAUACAUGCAAGUAGAACGCUGAAGGAGGAGCUUGCUCUUCUGGAUGAGUUGCGAACGGGUGAGUAACGCGUAGGUAACCUGCCUGGUAGCGGGGGAUAACUAUUGGAAACGAUAGCUAAUACCGCAUAAGAGUAGAUGUUGCAUGACAUUUACUUAAAAGGUGCAAUUGCACCACUACCAGAUGGACCUGCGUUGUAUUAGCUAGUUGGUGGGGUAACGGCUCACCAAGGCGACGAUACAUAGCCGACCUGAGAGGGUGAUCGGCCACACUGGGACUGAGACACGGCCCAGACUCCUACGGGAGGCAGCAGUAGGGAAUCUUCGGCAAUGGACGGAAGUCUGACCGAGCAACGCCGCGUGAGUGAAGAAGGUUUUCGGAUCGUAAAGCUCCGUUGUAAGAGAAGAACGAGUGUGAGAGUGGAAAGUUCACACUGUGACGGUAUCUUACCAGAAAGGGACGGCUAACUACGUGCCAGCAGCCGCGGUAAUACGUAGGUCCCGAGCGUUGUCCGGAUUUAUUGGGCGUAAAGCGAGCGCAGGCGGUUAGAUAAGUCUGAAGUUAAAGGCUGUGGCUUAACCAUAGUACGCUUUGGAAACUGUUUAACUUGAGUGCAAGAGGGGAGAGUGGAAUUCCAUGUGUAGCGGUGAAAUGCGUAGAUAUAUGGAGGAACACCGGUGGCGAAAGCGGCUCUCUGGCUUGUAACUGACGCUGAGGCUCGAAAGCGAGGGGAGCAAACAGGAUUAGAUACCCUGGUAGUCCACGCCGUAAACGAUGAGUGCUAGGUGUUAGACCCUUUCCGGGGUUUAGUGCCGCAGCUAACGCAUUAAGCACUCCGCCUGGGGAGUACGACCGCAAGGUUGAAACUCAAAGGAAUUGACGGGGGCCCGCACA
rnacentral:rRNA from 1 species